GCCGGGAUAGCUCAGUUGGUAGAGCAGGGGACUGAAAAUCCUCGUGUCACCAGUUCAAU
rnacentral:tRNA from 2 species